rnacentral:rRNA from 1 species
AACGAACGCUGGCGGCAUGCCUAAUACAUGCAAGUCGAACGAGAUCUUCGGAUCUAGUGGCGCACGGGUGCGUAACGCGUGGGAAUCUGCCCUUGGGUUCAGAAUAACAGUUAGAAAUGACUGCUAAUACCGGAUGAUGACGAAAGUCCAAAGAUUUAUCGCCCAAGGAUGAGCCCGCGUAGGAUUAGCUAGUUGGUGAGGUAAAGGCUCACCAAGGCUACGAUCCUUAGCUGGUCUGAGAGGAUGAUCAGCCACACUGGGACUGAGACACGGCCCAGACUCAUACGGGAGGCAGCAGUAGGGAAUAUUGGACAAUGGGCGAAAGCCUGAUCCAGCAAUGCCGCGUGAGCGAUGAAGGCCUUAGGGUUGUAAAGCUCUUUUACCCGGGAUGAUAAUGACAGUACCGGGAGAAUAAGCCCCGGCUAACUCCGUGCCAGCCGCCGCAGUAA